AUGUGAUAGAAUAAGGGGCUUGUUAAUAUCGAUAAUACUGUUGUUAUACUAUCGAUAGUAUAAAGCAUUUUAUGCUUUCGAAUUUUUCGUCUUUAAUUAAAUUUAUUUUUUUAAUUAUUUUCAUCCGUUAAAUUAUAUUAAAUAAUCAACAAUCUACUCAAUCUUAGAGGACCACUAUAAUUUUAACUAUACAUUUCUUAAUUGAAAAUUUGAAAAUCUAAUGGCACAAAGCGCUUGGUAUUAUUAAUAAUACAGUAACCUAAUUCUAUAUAUAUAUAUAUAUAUAUAUAUAUAUAUAUAUAUAUAUAUAUAUAUAUAUAUAUUGGAUUGUUAGUGAUUUAUAUGUCUUUAAAAUAUAUAUUUUUUAUAAUAAUAAGUAGAAAUUGAGAAAAUUUAGUAAACCUUGUAUAAUACAUGUGAUGAGUUCGGAAAAUAAGCAAUACAAAUAAAAAAAAAAAAAGUUCGUCUGAGAAUAAACAAGACGUUGAAUUUCUCUUUUUAACGUCAAAGUUUGAUUCGGCUUCUCACCGUAGUAGAAAGCCACAGUUCUGCUAAUUUUUAGCUUGCACGUUUCUUAAAGCGGAACAUAUCCCUUAUAUAGGGAAAAAUAUUUAUUUUUUAAAAAAAAUUAAUUUUAUACAGAUUUCUAUAAACAUAAUGAAUUAUUACAAAUAUAGUUCUAUAAAGUUCAAUUUUUAGAUGUUGUCCGUGCAAAAAACAUGAUAUUUUCAAAUAUGUUUACGCCGUUAGAAUUCGUUAGAAAAAAUUAAUUAACUAUAGAUAAAAUACUUAAUCAUGAUUAGUUAAUAAGGUGAAUUGACCUUUUUACCCCUCUUUACUUAGUAGUUGGGACUUUUGGAAAGGCAUAUUUGUGAUGGCAAAAAGAUCAUUUCACUUAUAAAAUAAAUAAUAUUUUAACGGUAAUAAAUCAUGGGAAUAUAUUUGAAAAUAGUAAAAUUUUUACAGAGACAAUAUAUAAAAGUUAAAUUUUAUAAAAAAUUAUUUAUAAUUUACUAUAUUUACAUGAACCUGCAUAAAAUUAACCCUUUUUUUAAUUUUUUUCUUUUUGUUGU
rnacentral:lncRNA from 1 species